UAGUAGUAGUACGUGUAGUUCGUCUCGGUCGACGAGGAACGACGCGUGGCGGUCGCGUUAAUACGAUGCAAGUCGAGCGGUGAACCCGACUGAAAGCCUUCGGGCUUGACGUUGGGGGAGUCAGCGGCGGAUGGGUGAGUAACGCGUGGGUACCUGCCCUAAAGUCUAGGAUAACAACUCGAAAGGGUUGCUAAUACCGGAUGUGACCGAGAGGUUAAAGGCAGAGAUGUCGCUUUAGGAUGGGCCCGCGUCCCAUUAGCUAGUUGGUGAGGUAAGGGCUCACCAAGGCUGCGAUGGGUAGCCGGCCUGAGAGGGUGGACGGCCACACUGGGACUGAGACACGGCCCAGACUCCUACGGGAGGCAGCAGUAGGGAAUUUUCCGCAAUGGACGGAAGUCUGACGGAGCGACGCCGCGUGGGGGAAGAAGGCCUUCGGGUUGUAAACCUCUGUCUUCAGGGACGAAGAGGGUGUGGGAGACACACCGAAGCCGGUACCUGAGGAGGAAGCCCCGGCUAACUACGUG
rnacentral:rRNA from 1 species